GGAAAAUAUGAUCAACAGAAGAACAAAUCCUCAAAAUAAUGAUGACUAUCAAAAUUACAAUAACAACGAUUAAAAUAAUAAUAAUAAUAACGAUCAAAUUUUGUAGAGGCAGUAUGGGUGAGGGAUUAAAAAGGCAAAAGAAUUCUACCAGUCAUCACUCCCGUCCACCUUCGAAUCUAGAUCUCUUACUUGACCCAAGGAUCAAUGUCUACGCUAAAAUCACUGCGAACAGAGUUCCAGCAACAGCGAUUCCGAAUGUCGCCGCUCCACCGAUGUGUGACGCUGCUCCAGCUGGGUUGUCGGCCGCCGGUGCUUGGGGUGCAGGUGAAGGCACCUCGAUUCCGGUGGGUGAAGGAGGAGAAGCAAUGGGUGGAACUACAGGACCACCGGUGGGAGAUCCCGAAGGAGUAGGACUGGAGCUUGGAGCUGGGGUAGGAGCAGUAGUUGCCGGAGCAGGGGCAGGAGCUGCUGGGGCCGGUGACGGAGCUCCAGGAGCGGGUGAGGGGGACGCGGGAGCCGGUGAAGGCGAUGGUGCUCUGUUUGGCGUCGGAGUCGGAGAUGGAGGGAGAGCCACCGGAGAAGGCGCCGGAGUGGCUGGUGGCGGAGUUAGAGGCUGUGAAGAACCCGGUGCCGGCGCUGGAGCCUGAGCCAUACAUAACCUCGUCAACAAAGCAAAAAUCACAACGAAUCGAACCCCCGAGAAUCCCAUCGUCUUUAUCGGAAACAAAAAGGAAAAAAGAUUUCUUAUCAAAACAGAGUAUCUCAGAGAAAGAUAGUGGAAGUGGAGGAAGCCAAACGACAGCGUUUUUCAAAUUCUCUCACAAAGCUCCCUUU
rnacentral:misc_RNA from 1 species